rnacentral:rRNA from 1 species
AUGGACCAAAAUAAUUUGCAAUUUCCCCUUGUGCAUGUGUGCUCUAGUACUAGUAGCUACAUACAACUAGCUCAGAUGAUGACGUACAAAAGGACUAGGAGAGGAAGUCCCCAGCUCGUGCUACCGCGGCCUGUGGUUCGGGAGAAAUUCAGGCUUGAGGAGAAGGACAGCGACGGGAGAAGAACGAGACCGAGACGGAGCUCCGACGUAAAUUCCCGCCAGCUUCUCGGGGCGCACCAGGGUGGUCCUUACAGGCACGUGCAUAAAGACUUUCCGGCUCUCAUCGACAAGGUUAGGCCGUCUCCAGUAUGGGAGCAGCGACAACGACGUGUUGACGGCUUAUUCUGGCGGCGGCAAUGGUCGUUCGGUGACCCGUGGACCUCGAUGAACUCGUGGAUCGCCGAGGAGCCGCACACACACGUAAACUGUGAUCCGUCUUUUACACACCAUCGAACACACUGCAGACCAAAGUUCAAAAAAAAAAAGAACACACUGCAGACCUGCAUCGUAAUCGCCGACAUGAACUGCCUGAGGAACUCCCGGUCCGUCUUCUCCCGGCUCCUGAUCCUCCGCCGGUACUGCAACCCCGGGCAGCCCCGGCUGGCCCCUCGAUCGGGCUCCAAUGUCCUAGACUCCAUCCGACGGCUCUUCAUCCACCCCGCCAAGCCUGCAACCUCCUGUCUAACGCCGGCACCGUCACUACCGGCAGCCUGGCGCGGCGGUUCUCCUCCCCUAUGCCACGGUUUUCACCGCCUGCGCCACACGGAGACCGUGCCCUACACCAACCGCACCCACCGGGUAAUGUUCUCUCCAAAGUUGGAGCGCAAGCUAGGCAACGAAGAUUUCGAGGAGCUCAAGAAGAAGCGCAGCAAAGACAUCCUUGGCCCGUCUGAUCCGAAGACCGUCCGUGUCCGCCAUAUCGCGUCCGACAUCAUCCGCGGAAUCCAGGAGCUCUUCCCCGCCGACGGCCUGGGCGACGACGACGCUAAGCAGGGAAAGGCAGCGGUACGGUCGCAGACGGGACAUCUCGAUGACCUUCAGUGGGAGGCAUUCAAUGGAGUUGGCGAUGUUAACUCCGCCGGUCCUCAACGAACUGCUUCCCUUCUCACGAAGUAUAUCCAUUGUAGGACCGAGUUGGAAGCAGACCUCAUUGGAAUGAUGAUACUGGCUGCCGCCGGUUUCGACCCACGCGUAGCACCUGAGAUCCACCAGAAGCGGGAGAGCCCGGUGCUGGAUGAUUACAUUGGCAGUCAUCCUUCGUGUAAGAAAAGGUCACAAGUUUUAUCACGGGGCGAUGCCAUGAAGGAGGCAAUGGAAUUUAACUUUGAGAUUUGUACCAUUGGAAGAACUGAUUGGCCAAGAUGCUUGUGGUUGGUUGGCAGCAACGUGUUGAUGCAGCAAAGAAUGCUUGAAUCCCUGCGUCCUGCGGGCCUUCUAGGGCAAGAGUGUCGUCCAUUCCAUCUGUUAUGUGGCCGCUUGUACUAUUCUAUCUGCUCAGACGGCGUGCCUGGGCGACCCGUCUUGGCGGUCCAUGACGGGUCGACCCCGUGGCGUGGCCGGGGUCACUGUGAUGGGGUGGUGGCGGGCGCGCUCGCAAGCGAGGCUGUGUGCGUUGUCCCGCUUGCAAAGGGGAGGCUGGACCCGUAUGUCAGUGUCCUCCGCGCGUGCCGAGCUUGUUCGGUUGUGACAGACGAGGCAUGUGUCAAUCCCGGUACGUCAUGUCAUGCGUGGGGCGGUGUGUCGCGCCCGCUUGAGAUGAGACAUGCCUGUCAUGUCGAUGUCCUCGCCUCGUGCUGGGUUGGUUUGGUCGCAACAGUGGGUCUUGCUUUGCGCCCGCCAGAGUCGGCUCGCGCUUGGGGAUGGCCGGAGCCGACGCUCCCUCCUCCGCCCUUGGAGCACAUGUCCCGAGCCGCCGGCCACGACAGCUCCUACCUUGGACGGCGGCACAUCCGCAGCGGAUCCACGGCGACGGCGAACCCUAGCCGCCCCUGCUGCUCUCCCUCCUCGUCCUCGUCUCCCCCGAGACGCGUCUUCGCAUCCGGCCGGUGGACACAAGCUUCCUCCUCGACUCCGGCGCAGCGCAGAUUCAAGGUUGAACUGAAAGGUGAACCCCCCCCCUUUAAAGACCAGAUCGGCCAACGUUACUACUCCUUGGGCAACAAGGAUAAGCGGCAAGGCCCCAACCAUGACCAUGAUGGCCUGAAAGUACAACAAGGCAUCCUCCGUGGACUAUGUUGCCCUAACUGUGACGGGUCGCCGCCGUCUGGGAACCAGCGAGUUACUCAUGUGAACGAGAAAUGCCAUGCUGUGACUUUCAGGGUGGAUUGUGCUGAGUGGAGGCCAAAUAGCAGGGGUGCCCGCCACUAUAUUGCGCUCCCUCCUUGUCUCCUCGCUUGGGAGGCUCUGCUCACCUCGACGCCUGCUUCUCCUGCACCUCCGGCCAUCGCUUUUUCUCCGGUUCCAGCAUUGUUUCAGCUUCUGCCACUGCAGGAGUGGCUUCCCCUGCGCCUAUUCUUCUUUGACUCCGGCGUAGGUAAGCCACCAGCUUCUUCUCAACUCCUUUCUCUUCUGCUCUUUGUGUCCACGAUAGUCUCGGAUGAAUCUGCGCCAGGGUCGCUAAGAAAAAGACAGGUCCAUGCUCGGCAAGUCGAUCUUUUUGGGUACCCUCCUAUUCUGAAGCAAGUUAAGAUAUCAGACACCAUUGCACAUAUGUGCUUUCGAGAUGUUGGCAUGAAUGAUCUGUUGCUGGGACCAGAUUGUUUUUGCUUCUGCCGAUGCAGGAGCAGCUUCCCCUGCACCUCCGGUGGCAGCUUCUUCUUCAACUCCGGCCUAGGUAAGCCACUUGGUUCCUCUCAUCUCCUUUUUGCUUUUGAUGUGCCAACGACCAUUGAGCUACGCAUCAAGCGGAUACAAAGCAUGCUUGCUAUGCUUUUUCUUCAUCAAGCCAUAAUAACUCUGGUGAGCCUAGCAGCGCGGAUGGGGACUAAAGCAUUUGCGACUACCAUGCCACCUCCAACUCUAAGCCAUUAUAGUGUGGAAGCGAUGACAUGUCAUCCUUCAUCAACUGGGUUCUUCUUUGUUGAUCCGGUGGCACAUCCUAGGAUCUGCGACAACCUCACCAUCACCAAAUCGAAGCCUUUUGUACUGUGGGAGGGCUUGCUUAUCUUGAUCAUUAUCCAUUGUUGUCUGCGGAUAGUAAUAUCUGUUCUAUUUAGGAUUUCUUCAAAGUCCAUGACCUCUGUAUGCUGA